CUAGGGUCUCUGGCUCCUCCAUUUCUGCUUCCUCCUCAUGCUGCUCCCCACAUCCUCCCCGACUCACCUUCAUGCUGCAUCGCAGCAAAUACAUCUCACAUCCUGACAUGGUGCUGCCCUUGACAGCUGGGUCCACAAAGGCAGGUCGGAUGUUCUGCCAAUGGAAUGGAAAUUGUCCAGAGUGGGGAGCAGAGAGCCUCAUCUUGUCUGGAAUUGGACAUCCAUCCGUAAGGCCAAAGUUCUCCCACCACCAACUUUAAGUCCUGCUGUAUCCUUCUCCCUCCCUUUUCAAAACCCUUUCCACCCAAGAAGGGAGAUUUUGAAGCCAGGACUGUACCAGCCACACCUCCCCAGAGUUGUUAAGGAAGGAACCUGAAAUCAGGGGCAGUCCUCUGGCAAUCACCCCACUACCAAGAGCAGGACAGUUGUGUUUCUGCUGGACAGUAUCCCCAGAGGUUGCAUGAUUCAGGCUACCAAGGGUACCUGCCUUUGGGAAUUCAACUCCUGAAGGUAAGUUGGGAUUAAGCCCUGAGAAGAUCUGUGGAAGCCCAGAGGACCCUGCCUCUCUCUGUUGCUUCAUGCUGUUGAGGUGGUACUGGGGAGGGCUUGCUCACAUCCAGGACCAUAUGUUUGAUGACACUCUGCUCCCUCAGUGUGGAGCCUCACCCUCAUCUCACAGUCCAGGAGGCCUCUGGUAGGAUGGGCUUGUCUCACCUAGUGUGUGAGUUUUUUUGGAAGUAGCCUGAUUUUGGAGUUUCCCUCCAAGCCUUUCCUAGCCACUUGCUUUCUCUCUCAUUCUCCCUUUUUUCUAUCUUCUUAAGUCUGCUUUUCUCCUUUUUUCCCUCUCUUGUCUCCAUCUCUUUUCCUGCCUCUCAUUUCUCUUUAUUUCUCCCCACAUUUCACUCUGUUCUCUCACCCCUCCCCUUCCCUUCUGUUUCUCUCUCUCCCUCCCUCCCUCCCUCCCCACCCACUGCCUGGCCUUCCAUAUAUUAAGCAGAGUUUUAUCACCUUACGCAGGGGCAGCCCUGCCACCUGCCAUAGAGUUGAUAGGCUAAUGACAGUUUGUGGAUAUUGCCAUGUCACAAGUGUAGGGACAGCCUCAAAAAUAGCCCUGAUGUCUAAACCACUUAAGCCACCUUUUUUAUUUUUAAAAGGAAUACAUUCACAUGGUUUUAAGAAACUGUAAAAAUGUAUAAAGUAAAAAACUCUUUCUCUCACACUCUCUCCACCUCUCCUGGUCUCACCAUUGUGCUCAGGGGAAACUAUUGUGAUUAGUUUCUUCUGUGUCCUUCCAGAGUGUCUUUAUGCAAAUGAAAAUUACUGUGAUAAUAUAUUCCUAUUUCCCCCUCACUACACAAAAGAUGGACUACCAUAAUCCCAUUCUGCACUUUUUUUCACUUGAUAAUAAAAACCCGAUUUUAUUAA